CGAGAAGUCAGAGCCUGCGAUACCGCGACCAGACAGAGCAGGAUAUAUCAGCUGUUGUCUAAUAAUAAUCGCAAAUCGGCCUUUCGAAAGCUUGAAGUGGACAAUUUAACGUCCUAUAGACUUCAAUUUGGAAAUCAGUGUUACCAGCCUAAAUUUCAACAACAACCAAAUGUAUGACCAUGGAAAGACCAAUAAGGAGAGGAGGACCUAAUGAUGAUACUGGCCAAAAUGAUAAUGUCCAUGAAGGCAGUGGGACAAGAUGGGGAGGCGCACAGGGAGACAGGGGGAGAGGAGCAGAGGGCAGAAGAAGAGCAAGAAGUCGUAGGCGUAAUCAAGG